CCCCUCUCUGGACAGCAUCUGGAGUGUUUCCAAUGCUCUACCACUCUCGAUUAUGGGAGGGAGAGUCAAGCAGAGAAAUACCCAUUCCAUUCCUAGCUUGAGCAGUGGCUAGCGAGUGGAAGGCAAUCUGCUACAUGU